UAGGGAAUCUUCCGCAAUGGACGCAAGUCUGACGGAGCAACGCCGCGUGAGUGAAGAAGGAUUUCGGUUCGUAAAACUCUGUUGUUGGAGAAGAACAGCGCAUAGAGUAACUGUUAUGCGUGUGACGGUAUCUAACCAGAAAGCCACGGCUAACUACGUGCCAGCAGCCGCGGUAAUACGUAGGUGGCAAGCGUUGUCCGGAUUUAUUGGGCGUAAAGCGAGCGCAGGCGGUCAAUUAAGUCUGAUGUGAAAGCCCCCGGCUCAACCGGGGAGGGUCAUUGGAAACUGGUUGACUUGAGUGCAGAAGAGGAGAGUGGAAUUCCAUGUGUAGCGGUGAAAUGCGUAGAUAUAUGGAGGAACACCAGUGGCGAAGGCGACUCUCUGGUCUGUAACUGACGCUGAGGUUCGAAAGCGUGGGUAGCAAACAGG
rnacentral:rRNA from 1 species